AUGCAUGAGGGGGGGCCUGCCUGGGCCGGGACUGAGGAGGCGGGGGGCAGGGGAACAGCUCCGGGUUCAGGGGCUGGAGACUGCGAGGGGAAGGAGUGGGGGUGGGGAGGGGGCGGUCCGGAGAGGAGGAGGGCGGGCGCUAACGUUGCUGAGAGCAUCAGACCCACGCCCAGGCCAGCUUCCCCGGUUUCUAAGCUGCGCUGUGGCCAGGUGGUGUUUGAGAACUUAGUGCACAGGGCACUCGGCGGGGGUGCCUCGGAGAACCCGGAAUCGGGGGGCUGCGGGGGGAGGGGGAGGGGAACAGGCCCCCUUUUCCAUCUCCUGCUUCAGUGCGCACCCAGGGCCCGGGCAUCUCAGAAGGAGAAAGGGACAACCCACUCCAGACGGAGCAUUUCUCAGGAAACAGGAAAGCGGGAGCGCACGGGAGGCGCGCAGGUGCUCCAAGCGCCCGCCCGAUCGCUUCUGAGGCGCCGGAGGAGGCGAGGGAGAGGGCGAGAGGGGAAAGCAAGAUGGAAGAGCAAGCAAUUUCUAAGAAAGCAGUCCUGGGGGAGAGGGAAGGCUCCUGCCCUCAAGCUCUGCCCCUUCCUGCUUUCUGCGUCACAGAGACAGGAGAGGGCAGGUCGGACAGAUACCAAGCAUUCUGGGAAAGGGGGACCAGCUGUAUCCCGGAGUUUGCAGAGGCAUGCAGCUGCUUAUGAUUUCCCGGAUCUAUUUAAGGGUAUCAGGAAAUAGCCUAAGGGCCGGGGUUGGUUUUGGUGGUUAGAAGCUGGCUGGGCUGUGGGGAAGGAAGGAAGGAGUGUGGACUGAAAGCUGGCAUUUGUGGUUAGAGAGACUUGAGUCAAUGUGUGGAGAGAAAGAACAGAUGUGUAAGUGAGAAUUGGUUUGGUACAAGUGGUGGAGGACCGACUGAAAGCCUAGAGGGGAAGAGAGAAUGUGUGAGUUAGUGGUGUACGUGUGACCCAGGAAGCCCGUCUCAGACGGGUGCAGAAUGGCACUGAAUGUUGAUCACAGGGAGAGAAUAAACGUGUAAAGGAUGAGUCAGGGAGGGGUGACCCCGGUUCCCUGGGUCACACGCUGAAGGGAUGAGCAGGGAAGAAGCUGUAAAGGCAGAUCCUACAGUGGGCCUGAAUGGAGGCUCAUGGGAUCAUAAAUCUAUAGCCAGAAGGGACCUUAGAGGUGAAGCAGUCGGUGCCUUCGUUUUACAAAUGAGCCCACACAUAAACUUUAGUAAUAAUGAUCAGGAGUAGAAUUUAUUGUGGAAAAACAAAAAACAGUAACCAUUGAUCUCGGACAAAGUUAAACCUGAAAUAGAUCUAAUCGAAAGAGAAAAAUAGGGAAACUACUCUGUGUCAGCCAUUUUAAUCAAUGUUUUAGAAAUGUUUAGAAACAGGACAAACAAGCAUAGUACACCUUUUUAUAGAUGUAUACAAAUCUGUAUAUGUGUAUGUAUGUGUAUGAUUAUCUAUGUAGGUAUGUCUGCAUUUGUACAUAUGUACAAUACAUAUGCACACAUGUAUAUAAAUCUGUUAUAUAUGUGAGUGUGAUUACAUGUAUAUGUGUAUCUGUACGUAUACACGUGUGUGUACACAAAUCUGCAUGUGUAUAUAUGUGUAUAUGUCUAUGUAUACAUAUAUAUAAAUAUAUACAAAUCUGUACAUGUAUAUAUGUAUAUAUGCAUAUGAUUAUCUGUAUAUCUGUAUGUAUGCAUAUGUAUAUAGAUGUAUACAAAACUGUACAUGUGUAUAUGCAUGUGAUUAUCUGCAUCUGUAUGUAUAUAUAUGUUUAUAGAGGCAUGCAAAUCUAUCUGUAUAUGUGCAUGUAUGCAUAUGAUUAUCUGUAUCUGUAUAUCUGUAUUAUAGGUAUGUAUAUAGAUGUAUACAAAUCUGUAUAUGUAUAUGCAUAUAUAUGAUUAAGGUAUCUACUUAUAUGUAUAUAUAGGUGUGUGUAGGUAUAUACAUGCAUAAUACAUAUAUGUGCUUGUAUGUAUCUCUAUCCUUCAUUAUAGCCUUCUUGGGGCAGGUGGUGGGAAAGAUGGAGGAAAAAACAUAAAGUAAAAAAUGCACAAUAGAGAACAAAAAACCUACAAGAAAGCAAAGAAAAAAUGAACUCUGAACACAAAAUAGGUAGUAUUUAUUAUAUAGGUUUUCUUGAAAUGGAAAUGUUUCAUAUUUUGAAUCCUUUCAUGUUCUGCUGUGCACAUGACAUUUUUUUUCUUUUUCUACUUUGCAUUUAAAGUUUAAAUAGAUAAAAAUUUUAAAACACAAAUGGACAAACUGAGGGUCAAUGAGUUUGAGACUUGCCCAAGAUCAUACAUGUAAUAAAUUGUAGGCAGGAUUAAAAUUAAGAUCCUUUGACUUUAAAUAUAGUGGUUUCUUCACUAUAUGUAUAUUUCUUUUAAAAUAUUUUCAUCUGUUUGUAGCAGCCCUUUUUGUAGUGUCAAGGAAUCAGAAACUGAGUGGAUACUCAUCAGUUGGGGAAUAGCUGAAAAAGUUAUGGAAUGUUAUGGAAUAUUAUCAUUCUAUAAGAUACGACUAGUAGGAUGAUUUCAGAGAACCCUGGAGAGACCUACAUGAACUGAUGCGAAGUGAAGUGAGUAAAACCAAGAGAACAUUGUACAUAGCAACAAGAUUAUGUGAUGAUCAACUAUGAUGGACUUGGCUGUUUUCGACAAUGUGAUGAUUCAGGCCAAUUCCAAUAGAGUUGUGAUGGAGAGCCAUCUGCACCUAGAGAGAGGACUGUGGAGACUGAAUGUGUAUUAUGACAUAGUAUUUUCACUUUUUUGUUGUUGUUGGUUUGCUUGUUUUCUCAUUUUUUUUCUCUUUUUGAUCUGAUUUUUCUUAUGCAGUAUGAUAAAUGUAGAAAUAUAUUUAGAAGAAUUGCACAUGUUUAACCUCUAUUGGAUUACUUGCUGUCUAGGGGAAAGAAAGACGGGGAAGAGUGGGAGAAAAAUUUGGAACACAGGUUUUUGCAAGGGUGAAUGUUGAAAACUAUCUGCAUAUAUUUUGAAAACAAAAGUUAUUAAAAUUUUUUAAAAAUAAAAAUAUUUUUAUCAUCAAUUAACGAAGCAUUGAUUUUCUCUCUCUACCAUGGCCACCAAUUCUCUUGCUAGGAAAAAAACAGCCAGAAAAACAAAAUCCUUUGCACAAUUAUACAUUGUCAAACAAAAUAUAUUUGUAUAUUGGUCAUGUCCAAAAGUGAAUGUGUCACUUUGCAUCUUAAAACUAUUAUCUCAACUCUGAGAUACCACUACACACCUGUCAGAUUGGCUAAGAUGACAGGAAAAAAUAAUGAUGAGUGUUGGAGGGGAUGUGGGAAAACUUAGACACUGAUACAUUGUUGGUGUAGUUGUGAACGAAUCCAACCAUUCUGGAGAGCAAUUUGGAAUUAUACCCCAAAAGUUAUCAAACUGUGCAUACCCUUUGAUCCAGCAGUGCUACUACUGGGCUUAUACCCCAAAGAGAUACUAAAGAAGGGAAAGGGACCUGCAUGUGCCAAAAUGUUUGUGGCAGCCCUGUUUGUAGUGGCUAGAAACUGGAAAAUGAAUGAAUGCCCAUCAAUUGGAGAAUGGUUGGGUAAAUUGUGGUAUAUGAAUGUUAUGGAAUAUUAUUGUUCUGUAAGAAAUGACCAGCAGGAUGAAUACAGAGAGGCUUGGAGAGACUUACAUGAACUGAUGCUAAGUGAAAUGAGCAGAACCAGAAGGUCAUUGUAUACUUCAACAACGAUACUGUAUGAGGAUGCAUUCUGAUGGAAGUGGAUUUCUUUGACAAAGAGAAGAUCUAACUCAGUUCCAAUUGAUCAAUGAUGGACAGAAGCAGCUACACCCAGAGAAGGAACACUGGGAAAUGAGUGUAAACUGUUUGCAUUUUUGUUUUUCUUCCCAGGUUAUUUUUACCUUCUGAAUCCAAUUCUCCCUGUGCAACAAGAGAACUGUUCAGUUCUGCAUACAUAUAUUGUAUCUAGGAUAUACUGCGACAUAUUUAAAAUGUAUAAGACUGCUUGCCAUCUGGGGGAGGAGGUGGAGGGAGAGAAGGGAAAAAUCAGAACAGAAGUGAGUGCAAGGAUAAUGUUGUAAAAAAAUUACCCUGGCAUGGGUUCUGUCAAUAAAAAGUUAUUAUAAUAAUAAAAAAAAGAAAAGAAAAAGCUUUAAUAAAAAUAAAAUAAAAAAUAAGAAAAUGCCAAAAAACAAAACCAAAACGAAACUGUUGUCUCUUGGUUAGAAAUUGGAUUGUAGAACUGAAUUAUGGUUGGUCAUCACAUCAAAGUCCUUAAAGUGAGCAGCUAGGCAGCAGUGGAUACAGCGCUGGGCUGAGAACCAGGAAGAUUUGUCUUACUAAGUUCAAAUUUAGCUUCAGACACUGACUGACUGUGUUACCGGGGACAAAUCAUUUAAUCCUGUUUGCCUGUGUAAUGAGCUGAGGUAGAGGAGGGCAAACCACUCCAGUAUCUUUGCCAAGAAAACCCCAAAUGGGGUCAUAGAAUCAGAUGCAACUAAACACAAAAAGUCAUAUUUUUCUCCUGUUUCUGCUUUCUUUACCCUGCAUCAGUCCAUACAUGAUUUCCCAAGUUUCUCUGACGCUGUCCUUUUCAUCAUUCCUUUUGGUUAGAUAGCAGUCCAUUCUAUUCAUAGACUAUAAUUUGGUCAGCCAUUUCUUAAUUGAUGGGUAUCCCCUUAUUCUCCUAUUAUUUGAUACCACAAAAAUGUUUUAUGAGCUAUAUAUAUAUAUAUCCUUUUUUCUUCAUCUUUUUUUUCUAAGUAUAUAUAGCCUUAGUAGUGGUAUUGCUAAAUCAAAUUUAUAUAUGUAUAUAUAUACACA
rnacentral:lncRNA from 1 species